rnacentral:lncRNA from 10 species
UUUUUUUUUUUUUUUUUUGGACACAGGGUCUUGCUGUUGCCCAGGCUGGAGUGCAGUGGCAUGACCAUAGCUCACUGCAGCCUUGACUUCCUUAACUCAAGCAAUCCUCUUGCCUCAGCCUCCUGUAGCACUGUAGGCACACACAACUAUGCCUGGCUAAUUUUAACAUUUUUCUUUCACCUUCUUGACCCUUAUCUUCUAUACCCGGCUAAUUUUUUGUAGAGACAGUGUCUUGCUAUGUUGUCCAAGCUGGUCUUGAAUUCCUCGCCUCAAGCAAUCCUUCCACCUCAGCUUCCUGAGUGUUAGGAUUACAGGCAUGAGCCACUGCACCUGGCCUCCAACAGGUAAUUUUAGAACAUUUUUCCCUCUACACUAAUUACCCUCCUAUAACCUCCAUUUGUUAUCACUUACUUUCUGAUGUUGUAUUCAUAGAGCAUGAAUAUCUUAGAAAGAUGGCACCAUCCUUCUAUUAAUAAGACCAGCAGAAUAGCUCAGUUUAAAGUUCCUCUAAACCCAAGAAAAUAUCAAACAAAAAUGUCUUUUUUUAGAUAAAUUUGAAGUCAGAAGAUAUUUUGAUAUGAGUCUAGUCAUCUCUUGGUAUCCAUGGGGGAUUGGUUCCUGAAACCCUUGGAUACCAAA